rnacentral:rRNA from 1 species
AGACUUUGAUUAUGGCUCAGAUUGAACGCUAGCGGGAUGCUUUACACAUGCAAGUCGAACGGCAGCACGAGAUAAGCUUGCUUAUCUUGGUGGCGAGUGGCGAACGGGUGAGUAAUGUAUCGGAACGUGCCCAGUAGCGGGGGAUAACUACGCGAAAGCGUGGCUAAUACCGCAUACGCCCUACGGGGGAAAGGGGGGGAUCCUUCGGGACCUCUCACUAUUGGAGCGGCCGAUAUCAGAUUAGCUAGUUGGUGGGGUAAUGGCCUACCAAGGCCGCGAUCUGUAGCUGGUUUGAGAGGACGACCAGCCACACUGGGACUGAGACACGGCCCAGACUCCUACGGGAGGCACGCAGUGGGGAAUUUUGGACAAUGGGGGCAACCCUGAUCCAGCCAUCCCGCGUGUGCGAUGAAGGCCUUCGGGUUGUAAAGCACUUUUGGCAGGGAACGAAAAUGGCACGGGCUAAUAUCCUGUGUCGCUGACGGUACCUGCAGAAUAAAGCACCGGCUAACUACGUGCCAGCAGCCGCGGUAAUACGUAGGGUGCAAGCGUUAAUCGGAAUUACUGGGCGUCAAGCGUGCGUCGGCGGUUUGGCC